GCCAUCACAGGAGGGGGGAUCUUUGGAAGUGAAUGCCUGGCCUGAAGCCCAGCUACUCCAGUAAGCAAGGACCUGCUUCUAGCAAGGCUUAGGUGCUUCAGAAGAAGGUGUGGAAAGCUGAUGCUAUGAAGAAAAGAGACUCAACAACAGUUUCUGUACCAUCGUCACCACAGUUCUGUACCCACAACAUCAAACAAAAGUUGGCCUUUGUUUCUGUGUUGCUGAUGUCUAUGGAGAGGCUCUCAUGGACUUCAAAGGAAUUAGGAUUUGUGCCUUCUGAAAGUGGUAAUCGAUAAUCACCUUUUCCUACAGCCUGAAGACACAGUGAAUACUUCCUGGUUUCUUUCCUUCCAUGUGUUCUAAAUCAGUGUUUGAAUGAGCCUGAAUGAUGAUGAAAUGCCUCUCAGGGGAGUUGGCAGCCUUCAGGAGAUUGAAGGUAAGCUGCUAGAACUUCGGUGUUUUAAUAGAGAAUAGAAAUCUGUUAUGUAAGAUUAUGUUAGCUGUGAUGGUAUGUGGACUAUAUCGACUACUUCAAUAUAUUUAUUCAUCAAUUGGAAAAAGUAAAAUUUCAACAGCAUGGUUCAGUCAAGCUUCCCUUUGUCUUUACUUCUUGCGCAAAAAUGCAAAAACUUAAAAUCAUAAAUUACUUUGAUUGUAUAAAAGCCACCUGAUUGCAUUUCCCUACUUUUCCAGUUGUUUUCCCUAGAAUUCAGAAUCUUUCAAGAAGUUACAUGCAGCAAUGACUAUGGGUCUGCUGAAGCUGUUAAGCAGAGGCUUGAGUUUGUCAAGUAAAAUCAAUACCUUAAGUCUCAGCCUCAAUUUCUGCUCAAAAUGGGAAAGUUCAAGGCUUAAGGUCAAAUGUACUCUUGCUUAGAUAUGAUUUUACUUUACCUAUGAAUUUGUUCCCUUUGAAAAUGGGAAAUGAGAAGAUCCAUGUAAGUUCUUUAAGGCUCCCACAACAUGCUCCUUGAUGUCAUCCUUGAGGUAGCAGCUUGGUGGGCAGUGCCUCCGGGGGUUUGCAGCAUGGUUUGUUGGUGCUGGACUGUUGUUCAGUUUCCUGAGGUUGGUUGUAUAGGAUACGCUCAUCCCCGGUAGCCAGUGAGACUCAGUUAUUGUUUAAUAAACAGUGGUAUGUCAGUCCUUCUGUGAGGAAUUUUUUGUCUGUGUCCAAAGUUGAAUUUAACAUACUGUGUUAAGUAAUGGUAAUAUUUAUCACAUAUUAUUAUAUAGAGAUUAUAAUAACAAAUAUAUAAUUAUGUAUAUGAUAUAUAUAUAAAAUAACAGUUACGAUAAUAUGUAAUGACAACAUUCUCUCCAUUCUGAUCCUCAAGAAUAAAGUGCUAGGAAAGC
rnacentral:lncRNA from 7 species